rnacentral:rRNA from 1 species
GAUGAACGCUGGCGGCGUGCCUAAUACAUGCAAGUCGAGCGAACGGACGAGAAGCUUGCUUCUCUGAUGUUAGCGGCGGACGGGUGAGUAACACGUGGGUAACCUACCUAUAAGACUGGGAUAACUUCGGGAAACCGGAGCUAAUACCGGAUAAUAUUUUGAACCGCAUGGUUCAAUAGUGAAAGACGGUCUUGCUGUCACUUAUAGAUGGAUCCGCGCUGCAUUAGCUAGUUGGUAAGGUAACGGCUUACCAAGGCAACGAUGCAUAGCCGACCUGAGAGGGUGAUCGGCCACACUGGAACUGAGACACGGUCCAGACUCCUACGGGAGGCAGCAGUAGGGAAUCUUCCGCAAUGGGCGAAAGCCUGACGGAGCAACGCCGCGUGAGUGAUGAAGGUCUUCGGAUCGUAAAACUCUGUUAUUAGGGAAGAACAUAUGUGUAAGUAACUGUGCACAUCUUGACGGUACCUAAUCAGAAAGCCACGGCUAACUACGUG